GAUCAACGCUGGCGGCGUGCCUUACGCAUGCAAGUCGCACGGCUCUUCUGCAAGGGAGGGUAGUGGCGGACGGGUGAGGAACACGUACCUAACCUGCCGAUGAGCGGGGGAUACCCCGGGAACCCAGGACAAUACCGCAUGUGGUCUUGUGGUUGCGGCCACAAGAGUAAACCCCACGUCGCAAGAGGCGGGGGCUCAUCGAGGGGGGU
rnacentral:rRNA from 1 species